rnacentral:rRNA from 1 species
AUGCCUACACAAGUAUUCCCACAUCCUGCAUGUUUCGCCAUGGCCGUGUUACUGUGCUCUGCACCUAUGCCUUGCUUCAUGGCGGGAUCGUGCCAGAAGCGGGACGACAUCAUCUCCUACAGCUUCCCUUUCUUCCCCCAUGAUAGCAUGCAGAACUUGGCGAUUUUCGGGGACGCGAGUGUGAUAGUGGCAAACCUCGUGCUCACUGUCGACAGAGACGGGAUGAAGGGUGGAGCCGGUUCUGCCCUCCUCCUAUCACCCAUCAAGCUCUGGGGCGUCGACUCCGACGAUGUGAAGCACGAGGCGUCCUUCAACACCUCCUUCACCAUGAAUAUCUACAGGCGGCUGGGACAAGGCGGCGGCCUUGCGUUCGUCAUCGUCCCCUCCCUCCACGGCCCUCCGCCUGGCAGCGAGGGUGGUUUCCUCGGUCUCACCAAUACCACCUCAAAGUCCACCACUGCCUCGGGCAGCAGUUUCGUCGCCGUCGAGUUAGACACCUGGAAGGACGACUUCGAUCCCGAUGACAACCACAUCGGGCUCAACAUCGGCAGCGUCGUCUCCGACGUAGUCGUCUCGCUCUCCUCACUCCCGGUGCCCGACAACAUCACCCUCGCACCGCUGAUGGAGUCGGUGGAUUACACCGUGUGGAUCGAUUACAACGGAGUCGGGCACCACAUAUGGGUGUACAUGGCCGUCGAUGGACUGCCCAAGCCUAACAAGGCCUACCUUGAUGCGCACCUCAACAUGAGCAGCAACAUCCCGCAGCAAGCGUUCAUUGGUUUCACGGCAUCGACGGGGGAAGGCCACCACCUACAUCGUAUCCUGAGCUGGAACUUGACAGUCGAAAAGCUUCCCGAUCACCGAGCCGUCCGACAACGGAAGAUGGUACUGUCCGCUGUUCUUGGGUCAGCGGCCGCCACCGUCGUCAUAAUAUCUGUCGCGGUCUUCUACUUCUACUUGAGGUACAAGGCCCUGAAGAUGGAGCUGAAGCUGUCAGAUGCUCUUCCGCGGCUUCCGGGAACGCCCAAGGAGUUCAAGUACGCCAUGAUCAGGAAAGCCACAAACAACUACGACGAGGCAAGGAAGCUAGGCAAAGGCGGGUUCGGCGCAGUGUACAGGGGAACGCUCCGCCUCCGGUCAGACAAGACGUGCCAGCUGGUGGACGUUGCUGUGAAAAAGGUCACACGUAAUCGAGACCGCGGCUACGAUGACUUCCUCGCCGAGGUCGACGUCAUCAACCGGCUGCGCCACCGAAAUGUCGUGCCGCUUGUUGGUUGGUGUUAUGAGAAAGGGGAGCUCCUGCUUAUAUACGAGUAUAUGCCCAAUGGUAGCCUGGACCAGUACCUCUUUGAGGAAAACCCUCGGCUCCAGCGGCCCAUCUUAGGAUGGAAUACCCGGUACGACAUCAUCAUGGAUGUAGCCGUAGGGCUCCACUACGUGCAUCACGAGCACGAACACAUGGUGAUCCACCGCGACAUAAAAGCGAGCAACAUCAUGCUUGACUCUUCCUUUCAUGGCCGCCUCGGUGACUUUGGCCUUGCACGCAUCGUCAGUUUGAACAAGAACUCCUACACAGAUGUGGGUGUCGCUGGCACCUGGGGCUUCAUCGCGCCGGAGUACUCAGUCUGCCACAAGGCCACUCGCAAGACUGACGUCUAUGCCUUUGGGGUGCUAGUCCUCGAGAUUAUCACCGGGGAACGGGCACUUGCUGGGAACCAUGACCAUGAGACGCUUCAACCGCUCACUGACUGGGUCUGGUGGGUUCACCGGGAGGGAAGGUUGCUCCAUGCAGUGGACGACAAAGUCACUUCCACGCAAGAGUUUGAUCGCAAUGAUGCUACUCGCUUGUUGCUUCUUGGACUGGCAUGUAGCAACCCAAACCCAUCUGACCGACCAAGCAUGGCCGAGAUAGUGCAAGUGAUAGCCAAAUCGGUGCCGCCACCAGACGUACCGCUUGUGAAACCUACAUUCGUCUGGCCACCUGAAGGCGGGAUCCCCAUGGAAUUUGACGACAUGAUGGCAACGAGCAACCUCGACUGGGAGGACAUGUCUAGCAAUGAAGCCCUUGGGGCUAGCGUACCAUCAGAGGUGAAUAGGCGCAACGCUCGGGUUGGGCAUUCAAACACAGCUGGAUCAGCUGAGGAGUAUUAUGUGUAG